rnacentral:rRNA from 1 species
CACGGGGGGAGCAAGCGUUGUUCGGAAUCACUGGGCGUAAAGGGCGUGUAGGCGGUCAAGUAAGUGGAAUGUGAAAGCCCCCGGCUUACCCGGGGAUCUGCAUCCCAAACUGCUUGGCUUGAGUACGGGAGAGGAUAGGGGAAUUCCUGGUGUAGCGGUGAAAUGCGUAGAUAUCAGGAGGAACACCGGUGGCGAAGGCGCCUAUCUGGCC